rnacentral:ncRNA from 1 species
GGUACCUGCACGCGUUGCGGUGCAACGAUGGUCAAAGA